AAAAAAAAAAACAGAGGAAAGAGCAGAAGGCAUGCUGCGCGGCUGUGUGGUGUGGCAACUCGGGGGCGCACAGCAGGGUGAAAUUUUUCCGUUUCCCUGCGGACGACAGGUGUGACAUGUGGCGAAAUUACGCUAAAUGUCCUCGCGGAGUUGGUAUGCUUGCAGAUGUGCAACGGCUACUGCCUCUGCUCGGAUCAGAUCAGAGAAAGGGGAUACGCCAAGCCGGCCAAAACAGGACUUGUGGUCGGCUGUCUGUUGGAGUGGAAGUGCGGUCCCUGGUCGAUGAAGGUUUUGCAUCACCGCAGCAAGGCAAAAUCGGAUAACGUAUUCAGCAGAGAUCGCAGGCGUCAUCAACCGACUGAGAAAUUAUACACAGAUAUCGCAAGUGCGCUAAGUUAAAAACCUGCCGAAAUAUUACCACGGGGGAAUUACCCCUAGUGCCUAAGCACUAGAGAAGCUUAUGCAUCAUGUGAGCAGAGUUCUACCAACUCUUACGGAGCCAGAUGGCAUUCCAAUAUGGCAAGCGGAAGGGAAAUGGAGAAAUAUUUUCUAGAGCACCUUGUGUGGCCGCGCAUUUGUGCGGUGUUACCAGUGUACUGCAUUUAAGCUAAAUAGCAGUCUGCUGAAACAUGUCUCAUACUUAAAACAGGUCGCACGAAACAGCCUAUGGGCUCUGGGAAAGAAAGUGCAUAAUGUACAUUCAGCGUAUUAGAUCCAGGUCAGGAAACCCAUUCAAAGG